UUAAUCGUGAGGUGAAAUCUGAAUGUAGCUGGCAGCAAACUUCUGACCUAAAGAACAGCAACUUCAUAUAAGCCAUAUAAUCAUGGAUAACAUGGCUGCUGACCAUGUUUGAAAAGAAAAACAGUGCCUUUA
rfam:Prevotella corporis strain MJR7716 genomic scaffold Scaffold1021, whole genome shotgun sequence.